UUGUUGUCACUCUUGCCUAUGUACAGUGAAAUGCUCUGUUUUGCAUACAACUCGGUAAAAUCAUAUAGCAAACCUCACCUCGGCAGUACACA